GGCGAGAUGGUCGAGCGGUCUAAGACGCAAGUUUAAGGAAUCCCUUAUAACUACUUGUCCUCCGGGGCGUGGGUUCGAAUCCCACUCUCGUCA